GACGAACGCUGGCGGCGUGCUUAACACAUGCAAGUCGAACGGAAAGGCCCUGCUUUUGUGGGGUGCUCGAGUGGCGAACGGGUGAGUAACACGUGAGUAACCUGCCCUUGACUUUGGGAUAACUUCAGGAAACUGGGGCUAAUACCGGAUAGGAGCUCCUGCUGCAUGGUGGGGGUUGGAAAGUUUCGGCGGUUGGGGAUGGACUCGCGGCUUAUCAGCUUGUUGGUGGGGUAGUGGCUUACCAAGGCUUUGACGGGUAGCCGGCCUGAGAGGGUGACCGGCCACAUUGGGACUGAGAUACGGCCCAGGCUCCUACGGGAGGCAGCAGUGGGGAAUAUUGCACAAUGGGCGGAAGCCUGAUGCAGCAACGCCGCGUGCGGGAUGACGGCCUUCGGGUUGUAAACCGCUUUCGCCUGUGGCGAAGCGUGAGUGACGGUAAUGGGUAAAGAAGCACCGGCUAACUACGUG
rnacentral:rRNA from 1 species